UGAAGGUAUUCUUUUUAACAAGUGCGAAUUUAUAUUUGAUUGCACGUAGAGAAAUGUAGGUUGAAUUGGCGUCACUUUUGAUUUUACUUUGUGCGCUUAUAUGCUUGUAGGUCUGCCAAUUAGUCGAUAUAUUUAUGCGAUGAUUGUUAUUGUUUAACUUUUUCUUUUCACAUUUAAUCGAUAUUUGAGACAUUCAUCGUUUAUUUUCACCCUUUUUCCGAUUUUAUUAUAUUUGUAGUCGUGUAGGGCAGAAUAAUCGAACAAUUUGCUUUCGUUUACGUUAAUUGUUAUAAUUUAAUUCUCGGUGUCUGCUGGCCAUAUUCCAUUAUUUAUAAGUUUUACUUAGGAUUGUGCAAGUAGAGGAGUCGGUAAGUAGUUUGUUUGUUUUGCUCGUUUACAGAUUACUGGUGUGUUUUUAUUUACAGAUUAAGCGUGCCAGGGAAGGCGUUUUGUUUAUUUGCGUGUCCAAUAUGAGGGUGCCUGCAACUGUCAUCAGGAUUAUCCACCAGGGUCAUCCACCAGGGUCAUCCAUCAGUGGUCAUCCAACAGGGCUCAGCAUGUUGUCAUAUAUCGAGGUUUAAUUGCUUGUUUUUUUUUUUUUUUUUUUUUUUUUUU